GGAAAGCUUGGGGCUGCCCUUAGUGAUCUCUAACCAAGGUAAGAGAGCUUAUCUCUCCAAGUUUUAGUUUCAAUCUUGUUCAAUUAAGCUUGGUAACUUGAUUUUACGGUGAAAUCAUGGAUGAUUAACAUGUUUUAGUAGUUUUCCCCUUUCUUAUUUGAUGAACUAGGGCUUGGGGAAAUUCUGCCCAAAUUGUUGUAAGAUGCUUAUAUGUUGCAAUUGAAGUUUCAUAAGGUGUUGUGGUAGUGAUUAGACCAAGAAAUUAAGGAAAGAUUCACUAGAAACCGAAAAUUUCAGAAUCUGGAAAAUUAUUGCCAACUUUCUGUCCGAAAUUUUAACUGUAUGUUAGAGGCUGAUUUGGCCUUGGGUCAAAGAAGGAAAGUUGUAGAGAAUGGUAUUUUAUCGGUGCCUAUAAAAUUUCAGCUCAAUCGGAGCAACGUAGGUCAUGAAAAGUCCGAAAUACCCCUACUGUUUUAAUUGUUUCCCAGCAGUCCGUUUCUUCAGCUAAGUUCAGUUUAUCGCAUUUUUUGACCAGGAUCCAUUCUGAUUUAGCUCUGGGUCAAAACAUGAAAUUUGUAGUGUUCUGAAGUAGCUUUAAAAUGCCUCUAAGAACACCUGAAUUGGACUUUUGUACACUGAGUUAUGUCCAUUACAGUGUUCUGCAUUUAAACAGCCGACGAAUUGGUUUCUGGUUUAGUAAUUCGAGAAUUUGACUAAGUUACAUUAGGAACUGGACUAAGUGACCUUCAUGAAUGUUGUAUCUCUGUGUCUUAGCUUCGAAACGGCAUAGGUUUCGUUUUAAUCUGAUAAGCGUAGCCUCGGAUAUGUUAUUUCCGCAUUUGUACGUCAAAUCUGUCUUGAACUAAAUUGAAUUUCUGCACUUGUACUUAAUGCGAUUCUUGUUGUUAUGAUAUUGUGAGCCUAUGGAACGGCUCUUGACAUAAAUUGCUGAUAUGUAUGUUGUUGGGCUGUUGUUGAAGAAAAAUAAUGAAGCCUAAAUGGCUGGAAAAUUAGGUAAACACAAAGGGCAUGCUGCCCAAAUUUACGCUCGAGGACUAUAUAAAUACACUUGCGACUUGGGUCGAAUUGAUAUGAAUAGUACUUAAACCAUCUAGGGUACUUGAGUCUUCUUGUUCGAGGUAUAUAAGUAAGGACUUGGCCGAACUUGUACCCUUGAGAAAUGAAAUAAUGAUUGCUCGAAGUAUGUUUUCCUUGUACUUCAACUCGCAAGACAAUUUCAAGUAUAAAUGUUACAAAGUUUUAUCAUUUAAAAAGUGAGCGAGUAUCUCACGAGUAUUUUCCAAGUGAAUUUCAAUUUCUUGAUUCUUAUUGAACGAAACGUCUAAGUUUCGAACUCUAGUCAUGUUUCAAAGUUCUCAAACUGAGUUUUAUCGCAGAUUUGGACUCCGAACCGGAGUAUAACCUGAAAGUGACCAGUAAAGGCACUAUAUCUUUUGGUGAGUGCUUUCAAAUACCGAAUUGAACUUGAUACUUGAACUUGAUACGUGACCAAUCUGAUUACAUGUUAUAUACGUGAAUUGUAAGGGCAAGAGUGUACUUUAUCGCACUUGCCCUUACGUGAUAUACUUGUUUAUUGUUGCAAUUGACUUGAUAUACUUGUUUAUGGUGCGCGCACUUCCUGGAAUUCCAGAAACCCUGUGGCGAGUUACUCUAGUCGAGCCGGCAAGGGCUUGGUCGAUUGGGUAACGAACCCUGGGUCUCUUGUAUUGUCGAGUGGAGUGAUAUCUCCUCGACUAACGGUAUACUCGAGUAUUACCACCCGUGUUUAUUGAGGAUUUUGGGCCCAGCUGGGGGUUUGAACGGUGGACGGAGAGUCGUGUAAGUGGUGUUCUACUGGAUUGGUUACUUACUUGAAAGUUGACGGAGUGUCAACUACUACGGGAUCAAGCUUCUGGUAAUGCCAUGGGAAUUUGGCUCCUGAGAGUCAUCCGUAUCCUUAUACUUUGGAGUGAUUAUUGUUUAUUGGAUUAUUGUUUCUUUUGAAAAAUUUUUACAUUCGCCCAUUUUAAGAUUUCUACUUGACGUGUUACUGUUCACAUUUAUGAACACUUUAUGCUCGUUACUUUGCUAUAUCGAAAACUCGUACUUAUAAAUAAUGGUCAAUUUGCUAUUUGGAACCUCACUGGGCUUUUAGCUCAUUCCACUCCAUUUGUUUUCCUUUCAGAGGUACGAGCGAGGUGUGAGAUAUGUAAAGUCUAGCAUAGACUAGCUGUUUGAUUUUGACUUGUACUCACGCUAUUUCUCGAAUGGAACACGUUGUAUUUGGAUUGUAUUCGUUUUGAUCUAGUUUGGUGUAUUGAGACUUCGUACUUCGAUUUCUAUUAAUGUAAAUUAUAAGCUUGAAUUGGGAAUGUUAUUUAUGGUUCAUGAAUGUGUGUACGUGACUCGAUUGAGA
rnacentral:lncRNA from 1 species